CCUACGGGCGGCAGCAGUAGGGAAUAUUGCUCAAUGGGGGAAACCCUGAAGCAGCAACGCCGCGUGGAGGAUGAAGGUUUUCGGAUUGUUAACUCCUUUUUUUAGAGAAGAUAAUGACGGUAUCUAACGAAUAAGCACCGGCUAACUCCGUGCCAGCAGCCGCGGUAAUACGGCGGGUGCAAGCGUUACUCGGAAUAACUGGGCGUAAAGAGCGCGUAGGCGGGAUAGCAAGUCAGUUGUGAAAACCUAUGGCUUAACCAUAGAACUGAAUUUGAAACUGUUAUUCUAGAGUAUGGGAGAGGUAGGUGGAAUGCUUGGUGUAGGGGUAAAAUCCGUAGAGAUCAAGAGGAAUACUCAUUGCGAAGGCGACCUGCUAGAACAUAACUGACGCUGAUGCGCGAAAGCGUGGGGAGCAAACAGGAUUAGAUACCCCAGUAGUC
rnacentral:rRNA from 1 species